CAUACAUCUAAUGUAAUUAUUAGUGUGUACAUGAACAUGAAAUCAGACCAAGUAAAUGCAAAGAUUAGUCGACCACUAUUAAUUUUCAUUAAAUUUUGUUCACAAGGUCAGCCUGUUAAUAGUGUAGUAAAUUGUGCACACAAGUACUGGUAUGUUGAUGUCCUCAAUAUUAAAUCCCGAAGGUUGACUGGGGAAUUGAAGAACGGUCACUCAAGUCUUUUCCAAUUUAUAUUCGAAGGAUGAGAAAUGAAGUAUACACC
rnacentral:lncRNA from 1 species